UUUGUUAUCUUUGCGAACUUCUGAGGCUUCCACCUUGAAAGACUGAGUGCUCAUCUUUUAAGGUUGCAUGUUCAUAAGGUUGCAGCCCUUGAAUUGGGAAACAGCUAUAGUGUCACUGUUGGGUAUAUAAUCUGUAAAUUGAUCCGAAGUUCAUGUUAUGCACAGGGAUAUUUUAAAAAGCUUAAAGGCGGAGUCCACGAUGUUUGAAAAACGGUUUGGAGAAGGAGACGGGCCGACUACCAAAACACACUUAUAGCAAAUCAAAUCAAAUCAAAUGCUGGGUUGCGUAUGUGUGGGGAGGGUCUAUCAACAGAAGGUCCAGAUUCUAUUGGGGUAGGGGCGUGUUUGUUUAGGUGAUUUCAAAUAUCAACAGUGGCUUUCAAACAUCAUAGGCUCCGCCUUUAAUGUACAAUAAUAAUUUUUAAAGUUGCUUUAAUAGAAGUACAUUGCAUUAUAAUUGUGUCUUAAGAUUUUUAUAUCUAAAAAUAUUGUGUGUAUUCAACUAUUUAUAUUUAGUUUACUCAGAUAUUGUUGUUUAUCGUAGUGACACCCUAAAAUGUUUGUUUGAGUUGUUGUAAUUAAAAACAACAUCUUGCACUGAUUAACAGAUCAAUACUUUUGUUUUUUCUGAAGAUUGUUUUUUUUUUUGUAACAUUGUGUUUUAACUUCUUAAUAUCUUAUUUAACUCCUUGAUAUUUAUAUUUGUUUUCUUUUUGUAUGUGUCAUUGGAAAUUAAUGGAAUGGUGCAACAUAAGCAAUAAAGAGGAUAGACGACAGCACGGUGUGCCUUGGGCAUUUCAUUGUACUUUGACGGACUGAAAAGAUGCCACGUGGAAAAGGUUUUCGGCGGUCCCAGGCAGCCAAGAGGCGAAUGGCUAAGCCAUAUUCACUCAGUCCUGCAGAUCAACUUGCUGGCGAAAAUUCCAUGGUUUCCAAUGGUUCCAAUGACUUUCCAAAAAGUUCCAAUGACUUUCCAAAAAGUUCCAAUGACUUUCCAAAAAGUUCCAAUGACUUUCCAAAAAGUUCCAAUGACUUUCCAAAAAGUUCCAAUGACUUUCCAAAAAGUUCCAAUGACCUUCCAAAAUGUUCCAAUGACCUUCCAAAAUGUUCCAAAGACCUUCCAAAAUGUUCCAAAGACAAUUCUGUUCAUGUAACUAACUUUGCUAGUUUUUCAGAUCAAGUUCUAAAAGGCUCCUUUCAUCAAGGUGAUGAACGAUUUGGGUACAACAGGAACCGACAGUGUGGAGUCAACAGUCUGACAGCAGUGAUGAUGAGCAAACUGAAGAAUGUGCUGACAUGGACCACAGAUGACCUGAAUACUGUGUUGGUUAAAGGAGAUGAGAUGUAUACAUGUAUGCGCUUACAGGGGAAAAUUAAUGAUUCAACAGGUAGUGGAUAUGUUUCCAUUGCAGAAUUGCCAAAAAUGCAUACACUGUAUAGUACAAAGUUCAAAAUAAACUACAA